GUAGGCGGUUUGUCGCGUCUGCUGUGAAAGGCCGGAGCUUAACUCCGUGUAUUGCAGUGGGUACGGGCAGACUAGAGUGCAGUAGGGGAGACUGGAAUUCCUGGUGUAGCGGUGGAAUGCGCAGAUAUCAGGAGGAACACCGAUGGCGAAGGCAGGUCUCUGGGCUGUAACUGACGCUGAGAAGCGAAAGCAUGGGGAGCGAACAGGAUUAGAUACCCUGGUAGUCCAUGCCGUAAACGUUGGGCACUAGGUGUGGGGAACAUUCCACGUUUUCCGCGCCGUAGCUAACGCAUUAAGUGCCCCGCCUGGGGAGUACGGCCGCAAGGCUAAAACUCAAAGAAAUUGACGGGGGCCCGCACAAGCGGCGGAGCAUGCGGAUUAAUUCGAUGCAACGCGAAGAACCUUACCAAGGCUUGACAUAUACUGGACCGCAUCAGAGAUGGUGUUUCCCUUCGGGGCUGGUAUACAGGUGGUGCAUGGUUGUCGUCAGCUCGUGUCGUGAGAAG
rnacentral:rRNA from 1 species